rnacentral:rRNA from 1 species
GCUCCUUGAUUCAGCGGCGGACGGGUGAGUAAUGCCUAGGAAUCUGCCUGGUAGUGGGGGACAACGUUUCGAAAGGAACGCUAAUACCGCAUACGUCCUACGGGAGAAAGCAGGGGACCUUCGGGCCUUGCGCUAUCAGAUGAGCCUAGGUCGGAUUAGCUAGUUGGUGGGGUAAUGGCUCACCAAGGCGACGAUCCGUAACUGGUCUGAGAGGAUGAUCAGUCACACUGGAACUGAGACACGGUCCAGACUCCUACGGGAGGCAGCAGUGGGGAAUAUUGGACAAUGGGCGAAAGCCUGAUCCAGCCAUGCCGCGUGUGUGAAGAAGGUCUUCGGAUUGUAAAGCACUUUAAGUUGGGAGGAAGGGCAGUAAGUUAAUACCUUGCUGUUUUGACGUUACCGACAGAAUAAGCACCGGCUAACUCUGUGCCAGCAGCCGCGGUAAUACAGAGGGUGCAAGCGUUAAUCGGAAUUACUGGGCGUAAAGCGCGCGUAGGUGGUUUGUUAAGUUGGAUGUGAAAGCCCCGGGCUCAACCUGGGAACUGCAUCCAAAACUGGCAAGCUAGAGUAC